UAUCGACAAAUUGUUCAUCGAUGGAUGAAUUUUUUGAAAAGGGGGUGAAAAUUUUGCUCGAAUCACCCCAAAAUGAGAGUGUGUGCGUGGCUCGCUGUAUCGCGAUAGAGUUCGGCGUGUGUCGAAUGAAUGUUCAAAAAGGUCGUAGUAGGCUAAAAAUCUGUUUUUCUGUUUUCGCUCGGUCACUGUCUAGUUUCAUGCGGGAAUAGUUCGUGAAUUGUGGAUUGCGUCAGUUCGUGGACUGUGUAUUCGUUUGUGGAAUAGUGUUUGCCAAGUUGUUCCAGUUCUAGUUCUAAAAGGAUAUUUCGAUGACCUGCUGGCCUGACCUGCUGGCGAUGACCUGCAGCGUGAUGACCUGCUGGCGCUGCUUUCGGCUGAAUACGACGAUGCAGAAGCAGGACAAGCUGUUUCAAAACAUUUGAAAAGCGACGCGUGGGGACAUAUGGCCACAGUUAACAGUUAACCUCAUAUCUAGAGGUUUUUGUGUACACAAAUUCAGGAAGCAGGAAGGAUUCAAGUGCCGUAGUGUGAAAUACUCCGUCAACAGAGAAAAACACAUGUUUUCUUACAACUGCGCCCACGCGUCCCUUUGGCCUACUGCUUCAAAGUUGACAUUCAUACUUCUUGAUGAAUGAUGGUCAUUUGAAAGGAACAAAUUAUUGGACAUGCUCGUGAUUAUCCACCUCUAUGAUGCACCUGCCAAUGGAAGGGAAAGACAAGCCAACCUUAGUAUUUGGUUGUUUUUGCUGCUGAUCGGUUCUAAAUUGGAUACUGGAAACCGCUGCUGUUAGUGCUCUGCAUUGGAUUUUUUUUUCGCUUUGCUCACAGUGCGUGACCUUGGUUUAUUAUGGCAAUCUAUCAGUCAAUUAACAUUCCCUUCAGCCAAAACACGUUCGGUCCUCCGUACACAUUUGAUUUCCGUAAGAAUUCCGCCAAAAAUUCGAAGGAAACAAUGUUCUAUCUGCACUUAGCACCUCUACAAACCGCAACUGAUCAAGCUUGCCGUUGAUCCUCCGUCCAGGAUAACAUACUCCGCCAAAGGUGAAGGUCGGGUCUAAUCAUAAACUAACUCAAGUGCGGGAAUCACCAGUUGAUACGAAUUUUUGUUGAUUUGAACUUUGUAGCUGCAGUUUCUUAUUGAUCGAUCUGAGAUUCCAUUUUCAGACUCAUUACGGAAUAAAAGAUUCAUAAACAAAGUGGUAAUGCGAUCAACAUGAAAUCGAGAUCGCACCCGAUACCAAAGUCAAGGACACGAUGUUAGUUUCUUUCGAAACACGCUGGCAAUUUCAUAGAAGAUUUUUGACUGUAUCUAUUUCUUUGUUACACGAUGUGAAUCUAUUGGAAACUUAUACUCGGACGAGGGGAAAUGUUUAUGUAUUGUUUAUGCUGCACCGAUCGAAGCUAACAGCGUGGUUAUGAAAAGAGUUGCAAAUAGUGAGCGGAAUCAUGUGUACCAGGAUUAAGGUACCAGGCUUAAAGUGGCGCAGUGUACGAGCAUUGAAAAUUGUACGCUAUUUAGAUGGAAGCUGGAUUUCUUUGGGUAUGGU